UAGCCAGACUCCUACGGGAGGCAGCAGUGGGGAAUAUUGCACAAUGGGGGAAACCCUGAUGCAGCGACGCCGCGUGAGCGAUGAAGUCUUUCGGUAUGUAAAGCUCUAUCAGCAGGGAAGAAAAUGACGGUACCUGACUAAGAAGCCCCGGCUAACUACGUGCCAGCAGCCGCGGUAAUACGUAGGGGGCAAGCGUUAUCCGGAUUUACUGGGUGUAAAGGGGGCGUAGACGGCAAUGCAAGCCAGAUGUGAAAGCCCGGGGCUCAACCCCGGGACUGCAUUUGGAACUGUGUAGCUGGAGUGUCGGAGAGGCAGGCGGAAUUCCUAGUGUAGCGGUGAAAUGCGUAGAUAUUAGGAGGAACACCAGUGGCGAAGGCGGCCUGCUGGACGAUGACUGACGUUGAGGCUCGAAAGCGUGGGGAGCAAACAGGAUUAGAUACCCGGGUA
rnacentral:rRNA from 1 species